rnacentral:lncRNA from 1 species
AAAAGUAAGUUUACUGCGAUUGUUCCUUUAAAUAUGUAAUAAAUUGCUAUCCUCGUUAUUGCCUUCAUGAAUCGGUUUCGAAAACUUAAAAAGGGUAGGUAUAAAAGUCACAUUUUGUAUUAAAUGAAUUUAUUUGAGAAAAAAAUGGCUUCAUUGGUUAUUUUAAUGAUUUCUACCAACUUUGAUUUUCUGUAUCGGUGAUAAGCAUUGACAUUCUUACUGGACUAGCA